UAGGGCGUCGCCAGGCGGUAAGGCAUCGGUUUCUGGUGCCGACGGUCCCAGGUUCUGGUCAUGGCGCCCCAGCCA
rnacentral:tRNA from 2 species